rnacentral:rRNA from 1 species
UACGGGGGGAGCAAGCGUUGUUCGGAUAUACUGGGCGUAAAGGGCGCGUAGGCGGCCAGCACAAGUCAGUUGUGAAAUCUCCGAGCUUAACUCGGAAAGGUCAACUGAUACUGUGCGGCUAGAGUGCGGAAGGGGCAACUGGAAUUCUUGGUGUAGCGGUGAAAUGCGUAGAUAUCAAGAGGAACACCUGCGGCGAAGGCGGGUUGCUGGGCCGACACUGACGCUGAGGCGCGAAAGCCAGGGGAGCGAACGGG